rnacentral:tRNA from 6 species
AAACUUAGGAUAAUAUUAAACCAAAG